ensembl:lncRNA
UGCAACGUGGGUUUGGUCCCAAAGAAGCUCUCCCUGCCUUGAUCCAGACCCAUCACAGUGCAUCUGCACAGAGGGAGGGACGGGUUUGCAAGAAGCAAGAUAGACAACUGUAGCAAGCAUAAUGGAAAGAGAAAGACAUCUGAGAUCCAGGAAGGGGUUAACCUUGCACUGAAACUCCAAGCUCAGUGCCGCAACCACCAGGCUGGUUCUGCUGGUUUGGGGCAGGUGAGGCUGGGAAUUGUCACCCCCAAACCAUAGAGGUCGGCAUUGUUUUUCCCUAACCCCCCUAUUUGUGUGUGUGUGUGUGUGUGUGUGUGUGUGCAUGGAACUCUGUCCUCAGGCUCUGUUAACAUCCCAGCCCAUGCUUCCCAGUGGGCUCGCUCAACGGUCAGCGCCUUGGCUGCUGCGAAACCCAGCCUGCGCCUGGCUGACACCCCGCCAAGCUCUCCCAAAGCCUCACAUCCUGGCCUGAGUUUCGGGUUGCUCAUCCAAGUCUCGCUGGGUUUCAGGUUUCCCUGCAAGCGUUGGCCGCUCUCGGUGCUCAGCAGCCUUGGGACGCAGCUCCGUGCUGGCAGGAUGGGUCCCCGUGCCAAGGGGACGUCAGCUGCGCCCACGUGGAGCUGCAGAAGGAGUCGGGGCCACCGCAGGGUUAUGGUGUAAAGCUGCAUUGCUGCGGUGCGACGCAGCCACACGCAGUGCGGUUUGUGGUGGCGGUGGCUGGGGACCAGCAUCCACCAGCAGGUGACAGGUGUCACCCCACAGCCACCUCUCAUAGUGCGCUCCGAGACGCCUCUAAGCCCUCCCUUAGCAGCCAGAGCUCUGCUCUCUUUUUUUCCUUAUUUGUCCCUAUGAGUUUGCUGGGCUGAAGCUCCAGCUCACAGCCAUCCGAAUCUCACUGCCAGCAGGAUCGGUGCUUUACCUGCAGAAACCAUUUCCCUGCCAUUUCCACUAGAUGUCACUUCCAGCCAGAAAGUCAGUGCUUUCUCCAGAUUUUUCACCUCCUGGUGCACAAAGUUAUGCCAACCCUAAAUAGGGGCUGCAGUGGCCAGGAGGUUGGGUUGGGGAGUCCUUGGGUUGGGACGUUAUUGGAUGAGGAUGUUGUUGGGUUGGGAUGAGGUUGGGUUGCGAUACCGUGGGUUGUGAUGGGGUUGGGUUGGGUUGGGAUGGGAUUGUGUUGGAAUGGGAUUGGUUUGGGAUGGUGUUGGCUUUGGAUGGGAUGGGAUCGGGUUGGGAUGGGGUUGGGCUGUAAUACUGUUGGGUUGUGAUAGGGUUGGGUUGGGUUGGGAUAGAAUUGUUUUGGCAUGGGGUUGGAUUGGGAUAGAGUUGUGUUGGGAUGGGGUUGGAUUGGGAUAGAGUUGUGUUGGGAUGCUGUUGGGUUGAGAGGGGUUUGGGUUGGGAUGGGGUUGUGUUGGGAUGCUCUUGGUUUGGGACAAAGCUGAGCAGGCUAGGGACAGGUGUCAGUGCUUGGAGAGAACUGGAGAACUGCAAGUGGGAUGAGGUGCUCAGACGGCACUGAUCCCCAAAGCCUGGAGAAUUCAAAUGCCACUAAUACAGAGCACGUGGUCAUCCCAGUGCCACCAGUAACACCAGUGCCACCAGCUGCCAUGCUCCUGGCUGAGCACCCCUGGGCCAUGCAGAGGGCAGGAAGCAGGAGGCAGCAGGAGCUGUGAUGCUCCAGCACUGCUCACAUCCUGGUUCUGGUGGCACCAUCACAAAUGGGAACCCAUCUGCCUCCCAGAAGGGCAAACAAACCCACCUCCCUCCAUCAGGCCAUUGUCUUUUGAGGAAAUGUUAUUGUUUCCAGCAAAGCCCUUCCAACGCAGAGAGCUCUCCCAUCUUCCUGUCUCCCUUCUCACAUCUGGGAAUCCUAUUUCAAGCACACGUUUUUUUUUUUUUUUUCCUCCAAUUCUUCACUAAAGUAAAAUAUUUCUUCUUCCCCCUUUCCCUUGCAAAG